rnacentral:rRNA from 1 species
UACGUAGGUCCCGAGCGUUGUCCGGAUUUAUUGGGCGUAAAGCGAGCGCAGGUGGUUUAUUAAGUCUGGCGUAAAAGGCAGUGGCUCAACCAUUGUAUGCAUUGGAAACUGGUAGACUUGAGUGCAGGAGAGGAGAGUGGAAUUCCAUGUGUAGCGGUGAAAUGCGUAGAUAUAUGGAGGAACACCGGUGGCGAAAGCGGCUCUCUGGCUUGUAAUUGACACUGAGGCUCGAAAGCGUGGGGAGCAAACAGG